GUGAAGAACGUAGCGAAAUGCGAUAAGUAAUGUGAAUUGCAGAAUUCAGUGAAUCAUCGAAUCUUUGAACGCACAUUGCGCCCGUUAGCAUUCUAGCGGGCAUGCCUGUCCGAGCGUCAUUUCAACCCUCAGGGUCCCCGUUCCGGCGGGGAACCUGGUGUUGGGGAUCGGCCCGCCCCGUGCGGCGCCGUCCCCCAAAUUCAGUGGCGGUCUCGCUGCAGCCUCCCCUGCGUAGUAGUUACAACCUCGCAUCGGAGCUCAGCGCGGCCACGCCGUAAAACCCCCGACUUUCUGAACGUUGACCUCGGAUCAGGUAGGAAUACCCGCUGAACUUAAGCAUAUCAAUAAGCGGAGGA
rnacentral:misc_RNA from 1 species